UCACUAGAGAUGUUAGCUAGA
rnacentral:piRNA from 1 species